rnacentral:other from 1 species
GCACCUCUGCGGUGUACGUGUGCGGCCGGGGUUUAUCCUUGAGCCUAAUGAACUACCCCGGGAGCCGAACUGCGAUGGUGUUGUGCAUGUCCGCCCUCGUGCGGAAAGCCUGGAUCCAUCGCGUAGGCACCCACUUGAACCGCUGGUUCAAGGUCGAAGGUCUGCCACGGCACAUGCGGAGCGUGU